GACGAACGCUGGCGGCGUGCUUAACACAUGCAAGUCGAACGGAAAGGCCCUGCUUUUGUGGGGUGCUCGAGUGGCGAACGGGUGAGUAACACGUGAGUAACCUGCCCUUGACUUUGGGAUAACUUCAGGAAACUGGGGCUAAUACCGGAUAGGAGCUCCUGCUGCAUGGUGGGGGUUGGAAAGUUUCGGCGGUUGGGGAUGGACUCGCGGCUUAUCAGCUUGUUGGUGGGGUAGUGGCUUACCAAGGCUUUGACGGGUAGCCGGCCUGAGAGGGUGACCGGCCACAUUGGGACUGAGAUACGGCCCAGACUCCUACGGGAGGCAGCAGUGGGGAAUAUUGCACAAUGGGCGGAAGCCUGAUGCAGCAACGCCGCGUGCGGGAUGACGGCCUUCGGGGGGUAAACCGCUUUCGCCUGUGACGAAGCGGGAGUGACGGUAAUGGGUAAAGAAGCACCGGCUAACUACGUG
rnacentral:rRNA from 1 species